rnacentral:lncRNA from 1 species
UUCCCGGACAGGGGACUCCCAGCCCCGACCGCUGCCGCUAGCGAGCAAAGCCACCGCGUCCAUCCCGAGGGCCGCGCGGGAGACGGCGUCGGAGCUCAGCAGCAGAGGGAAGGAGGCGGCCGYACCGCCGAGGAGCGCAGCAGCGGCGUGAGCAGCCUUGCAGAACCCACGGGCGAGCCCAGGGCCUCGGAGGAGCGAAGGACAGCAGGAAGCACCGCGGGGACGGGCAGUUGCAUCCCAGAAUCACCUUGAGAACGGAGGCCGUGCCGGCUGAUAAUUCCACUGAAUUAAUGAGCGAUUUGGCGAUCGCAGUUUGCCGUUGGCUUUGACUUAAUGUGUCUUACAGCACUGUUUAGAGUUAGUCUAGCAUAUUUUAAAGGCUCCUCCACACCUCCCGCCCCCCGUUCCAGCGCAGCGAAGAAAGCGCUGCACUAGGGACGGGAGCAGCGUGGGAGCCGCCGAGGGGACGGAGCCUGGUCCCGGCCGGCUGGGCGAAGGGGAGGACGGGGAAGCCUGGCCACACCGGCGAAGCCUCCCCGCGAGGCGUCCCUUCCCCGGGAUCGUGCCACCUCCGCGGCCCUGGGGAGGCACCAGGCUGAGCGGGGGGCGGAGAGGCUGAGGCUUCCUCGCUCCCUCCUAGACACACCAUCCUCUUUCCCGGAAUCAUUUUCCAAGGCGCUUUAAACCAAGGACGUGGGACACGCUGUACGCACCUGGCCCUCGGCGCUGACAGCUUGUAUCUGUGAGCUCGCCAGCAGCCAGAUGUUCCAGGGAGGCAAGGAAGAGCAGAUGCUGCACUGCAGAGUGCUGCGGGCGCGCUGCACGGCUCACAGCACGGGCACGGCCGAGCCGCGACUGCCACCGACGAGCAGCCUCCUGCCUUAAACGGGCCGGGAGAGAGGCUGGGGGGCCGGGAGAGGCUCUGAGAUCCCGCCGGCUGCUGGGAUCCCAGGCCUGUCACAGCUUUUCCUCCAGCUGAGAGCUGGAUCCACUCACACUGGCACGGCAAUACUGCUUUGCAAACGAUCCAGGAUCUUAUGAGAGCAAGGACCAGAGAGGGAUUUUCCUCCUUCUAA